rnacentral:tRNA from 1 species
GCCUGGGUGGCUCAGCCGUUGAGCAUCUGACUUUCGCUCAGGUCAUGAUCUCAUGAUUUGUGAGUUCGAGUCCCUCAUCUGGUG